rnacentral:tRNA from 1 species
CGGUGAAUAGCGCAGCUUGGUAGCGCACCUGGUUUGGGACCAGGGGGUCGGGGGUUCGAAUCCCUCUUCACCGACCA